rnacentral:rRNA from 1 species
GAUGAACGCUAGCGACAGGCUUAACACAUGCAAGUCGAGGGGCAGCGGGGCAGCAAUGCCUGCCGGCGACCGGCGCACGGGUGAGUAACGCGUAUGCAACUUGCCUAUCAGAGGGGAAUAGCCCGGCGAAAGUCGGAUUAAUGCUCCAUAAACCAGGGGUCCCGCAUGGGAAUAUUUGUUAAAGAUUCAUCGCUGAUAGAUAGGCAUGCGUUCCAUUAGGCAGUUGGCGGGGUAACGGCCCACCAAACCGACGAUGGAUAGGGGUUCUGAGAGGAAGGUCCCCCACAUUGGAACUGAGACACGGUCCAA